UGCGGGGGGAGCAAGCGUUGUUCGGAUUUACUGGGCGUAAAGGGCGCGUAGGCGGUCAGCACAAGUCAGUUGUGAAAUCUCCGGGCUUAACUCGGAAAGGUCAACUGAUACUGUGCGACUAGAGUGCGGAAGGGGCAACUGGAAUUCUCGGUGUAGCGGUGAAAUGCGCAGAUAUCAGGAGGAACACCGGUGGCGAAGGCGGGUCUCUGGGCCGUAACUGACGCUGAGGAGCGAAAGCAUGGGGAGCGAACAGG
rnacentral:rRNA from 1 species